AGAUGGGAUGAUUAUCCUGAAUUAUCUGGUUGGGUCUGAUGGAAUCACAGGGUCCUUAGAAAAUGCUGGCAAGACGGAGGAGGAGCUGUUUAGUGAAAAAAUAAGUGGCGUCGAAGGAACGAAACUAGAUGACGAAUUUCUUGACAUGGAGAGGAAAAUAGACAUUACCAAUAAAGCUGUUGCAGAAAUUCUUUCGAAGGCCACAGAAUAUCUUCAGCCAAAUCCAGCAUACAGAGCUAAGCUAGGAAUGCUGAACACUGUGUCGAAGAUUCGAGGGCAGGUGAAGACCACCGGCUACCCCCAGACGGAAGGCUUGCUGGGCGACUGUAUGCUGAAGUACGGGAAGGAGCUGGGCGAAGGCUCCACGUUCGGCAACGCGCUGAUAGAAGUCGGGGAAUCCAUGAAGCUCCUGGCGGAGGUGAAGGACUCUCUGGAUAUUAACGUAAAGCAGACUUUUAUUGAUCCCCUUCAGUUACUGCAGGACAAAGAUCUAAAAGAGAUUGGGCACCACCUGAAAAAGCUGGAAGGCCGCCGCCUGGAUUAUGAUUAUAAAAAGAAGCGAGUAGGUAAGAUACCAGAUGAAGAAGUCAGACAAGCGGUAGAAAAAUUUGAAGAGUCAAAGGAGUUGGCUGAAAGAAGCAUGUUUAAUUUUUUAGAAAAUGAUGUAGAACAAGUCAGCCAGUUGGCCGUGUUUGUAGAGGCAGCUCUGGACUACCACAGACAGUCCACCGAGAUCCUGCAGGAGUUACAGAGCAAGCUGCGGAUGCGGAUAUCAGCGGCAUCCAGUGUCCCCAGACGAGAGUAUAAGCCACGGCCCAUCAAGAGGAGUCCCAGUGAGCUCAAUGGGGUGUCCGCCGCCUCGACAGCAAAGACGCCAGCCUACAGCAGACUGGAAGCAGCAGAUUAGAAAGGCCGAGGGACGGCUUCGGGAAGGUCCACUGACGGCAGGAAAGUGACAGGUCACAGCCCGGCGACAAGGGAGGCAAGAGAAAGACUUAAAAAAACAAACAAAAACAAACAAAAAAACAAAGCAGGAACAAAAAGUCAAAAGGCACAGCAGUCUGGGGCAUUUACUAAAAGACAAAGAGCCAUCCUCAGGCCAAGAGCAGACUCUGGACCCAGAUGGAGGCCACGUCUCAGCACCACUGCUGAGUUGCUUUGAACUUGUUAAUGCUUCAUUCCUCCAUCCACCAAACUGGGGGGAGUCAUGGUACCAGAGUAAAGCCACGGAUGUCAGGGAGCCACUUAGAAUAUUGUCCUGGCACUGAGGGUUAUGAAGUCAUCCCCGCUGCUGGUGGGACCGUGGGACCGCGAGCAGAAGGAGAGCGCUGGGCAUCUCCGUGAGAGUGAGGGGCCUCUGCACCUGGGACUUGGGGACACAGAAGGGAGGAUGGGGAAGGGCCCUCCCCAGAACUUUAGUGUUGUUAAAAUGGUAAGAGGGGACCCCGUAUUGUUAGGUACCAGGCCAUAGUAUUGCCAAGAGGGCAGGGAACAUACUUUAGGGAAACACGAGUUCCCGGCCUCUUGUGCAUUCCCGACGCAGUACGCACUCACCGCACACCCGGCCCCCUUGAAACUCCUGUGUUAUGGAUUCCUUUGUUUCUUUUUUCUCCUAAUGGUGUGGAUCAGGACUUGAAUAAUAAAUAUUUAACAGGGACCCUCCUUUUUCUCUGUUAAAAUAAUCUUUGUUGUGGUGCUUUCACAAGGAAGACUUUUUCCCACCUCUGCUCUCAUGUUUCGUUAAGCCAGGGCUCGGGAGUAAGAGAAAAUAAACACGGGCCCCUUGGCCAGGGCAGGCAGGCGGAGGCCUGGGCUAGGGCUGGGGCAUCAGCCACCUGCCGGACAGCAUGGGCCACCCCUCAGCCAGCAAGGUGUGCCCAAGCUCAAGGAGCAGUGGCUGUGAGGCCCCAGGGGACAGAAGGAACGAGGUGUCCCCAGAGACAGUACACUGGAUAGAAUCCAUCUUUCCUUAUGGGAAGGUUUCUGCAGAAGUGCUGGCUUCUGAUGGUGGGAAGCUGGGGGUCCUAUGCAGGUGUUUGUGUCUGAUCCGGUGAGGAAGACCCCCCCCCCUUUCUGCCUGGUCCCAUGGGCUCCAUCCCAUGCUGACUCUGACCCCUCUUUAGUGGAGAGGGGAACUUCCUACAUUAUCACUUUGGUGGGCAGAAGCUUGACUUCUCUUAAGUGAACUGAACUUGCUUAUGUGUCUCCAUUUAGAGCAGUGGGGGAAACAAGUUAAUCUUUUUUCCAUUUCUACUGUUGGCCAAAAAAAAGAAAAAAAAUUAAUCUUUUUUCCAUCUCUUCUAAUGGUGGAAAAAACCAUAAUCUUGCCAUUUUAAGGUAACCCGGUCUCUUGCAGUAGAAAGUACACUAGCCGUUUAUCACUUGGUCAGUUCAGGACCCACACCCGGUCUGUUCCGUGGAGACUCCCUGUCAGGGCAGCUCAUGGUUCUCGCAGACCCCCUCCUCCGCACACCGCUCCCCUCGGAUGUUGCCCGGAGGCCAGGGGACGUGGCAUGGACGUCACGGUGGCAGGCAGUGGGGCUAGUCUGGGGCUGAACUGCUCGCACUGCUGGGAUCAUUUGUCACUCCAGGCCCAGCUCUGUGGGCCAGGCCUCCCCCUCUGGCUUGUGGGGGCUCAGGGUCCUGCCCGCCCCAGGCCAUCUUUGGUCCAGCUGUCCCCUUCCCCACAGCACCUCCUCACUUCCGGAGGGCACUCGAGAUGUGUUCCAAGGUCAUGGGGAGCCAGGGGUGGCUCCCUUAGGCCCCUCCCUGUGUAAUUACACCUCCCCACCAUGCUGGCUGGGAGCACUUGGAGUAUGUGCCUCCUCCCAGAGUUCCAGUGGGAAGUGGAGCCUAAGACCCCCCCUACCCCCACCCUGGGUAGACUCAGGGGAGCAUUUCAACCUUCUUGCCCACCCUCUUCUCUCUCCAGCCCCUUCUCCACCUCUAGAAAAAGCUCAUAGGUCUCCAGUGGCGGGAAAUAGCCCUUCCCUCUCCACGGCUUGUAAUCAAAUCUCCAUACUCUGGGUUCUUCACAUCCUGGUUCCUUAGACUCCAGAAGUCAGGUUGUCUGUCUGUAUGUCUGUCUCUCUGCCUUUUAAAUCUCAUAAAAGCCCACCUGGCUCUGGUCUGGGCAUGAAAGCCUGUAAACCUUGGCUUUCACACCAGUUUGUGGCUGAAAUGGCAUGAUUUGGGAACCUAGAAGUUACAACAUUGACUGCGUUGUUCAUGUGCAGGCUCUUCUCUCUCCCUAAAGUAAGGGAGGCUGUAGUCCUUGGGCUGAACGCCCCCAAGAGUGGAAAUGACCCAGCUCGACAAAGGCACUGGGUGAUAUUCCAGAAUAUCGUCCUGCUGCUGUAGGCCAGGACAGCCAACCCCAGCUCUGGGGGCACUGUGUGCGGUGCCGGGGGCGGUGCAGACAUGACCGGAGAGCCAGGUGCUCACGCCUUGCCUGGUCGGGGAACUGUGGCCUGCCUCAUGACGCCAGCCCCCCGCCUCUCAGGGGAGAUGCCAUGUUUGGGGCUCACUUGCUGAUGGAGUGUGAUAUGAGCGCUGGUCGUUUUCCAGCUCUUAGAAAAUCAAAAUGGGCAGCGUGGCAGUGGUCCCUUGCCUAGAAUAAAUGAAGUGAGAAGUGAGUAAUGUAUCUUUUCCCUGAUUUGUUCAGCGUGUGUGCCAGCCGUGCACACGUGGGCGCAUGCCGCGGGCUGGUGGGCAGGGUGUGUGUGUGCCUGCCGUUCAGCAUUGAUUUCAGUCACUGCAGGUAGCUUGCAGAGUCAACGGGAGGAAAAACUGUUCUGUUGUGAUACCCUUGGUCAGUGUGAUAGCCCGUAAAAUGUCUUGGCGACCCUUCGCGGUGUCACAGAUCAUGUAGGAGGUGACAUCAGCAGGAUAGAGCCCAGGCCGGGAGCCCUGGUGUCUGGUUCUGGCUUUGCCAUUAGCCCAGGGGCCAGGCUGUUGUGACCUCUUGGAAGUGUCACUGUGUCUUCUUCAAAAAGAGAGAGGUCCGUGGACAGCCACCAGAUACCCUUCUAGCACCGACAUUUCACGUUCAAGGAAAUCUGUCCAAGAUGACCACCGUGUGGUUUGGCACCGAACUCCAUCUCCCUCUUCAGUGCGCUGGGAGGGCAAGACAUGCUAUAGGCUAGUAAUCACUUCGAUAGACCACGUUACCACUGGUAUUCAUUAAUAGAGUUGACUUCGACUCCACAGUCCCAGUUGGCGUGGAUUUUCAGUGCCCCGGCUCACCCGGCGAGGCAUCGCCUUUCCAAAGGAAAAUGAAAAUUCUUCAGGCUAAACUCAGUUUCCAGUGCUCUGAAGCGAUGGAACGUCAUUCUGUUCCAACGCAAGAUAACGAACAGGACCUCGUGUUGAAGUCCUUCCACGGCCACCAUUAGGACAAAAGGAAUACAAGAGGUUGGGAUAGGACGGAGGCGUGUCCUGGAAGGAGCCAUCCAAGGACUAGAAACAUCGCCUGUCUUCUAGAGACAACAGUGCACGCGGAUUCAGGUUCUGAAAGGCUCCUCUUCCUGUAAGUCCCCACACAGGAAGGAGCGUCUUCCCUGGAGAGGGAGAAGUGGAUCCCCUCCCCUUUCCCUACCCGAUGAAACUCCUCUACACUCCCAAGCUCUGGUUGAAGAAAGUGCACCGAAGGGAAGGCCGUUAGGUGGGUGAUUUGCAACCUCCCCUGGACCCUGGAGACUCCUGAGAAAUUUUAAAAAUCCUAAGGCCCCGGUGCCAGCGUCAGAGCUUCCUGAUUUCAUUGGCCCAGGGUUCUGCUGACGAAGAGCUUGUUAGUCGGCCGCCAUGUUGAGAGCCGAGACAAGGGGUCAUCUCAGCUCCAUGGAGAACUUCACUGAUGAACAGCCUGCAAGGGAAGGAGGGCUUGGCUCCUGCUCCCUCCCGGGUGUGGACAGCGUGCUGGGAAGGUCAGGAGUGGGGCUGGCCCUGACGGAGGACCGCCCCCCCGCCUGUCAGAGAAAUGAACAGGCCCCACGCAGGGAUCUGCUGCCCAGGACUGAGGGGCUCCUCGUUUGACCAACCAGAGAAAUACCCAAAUUUCUCCUCUCUUUCCGGGGACAUGAAAGGUUUGGUGAGGAAGGAGCAUAAUCUUGAGCAGAGCUUGUUUCAACUCUCAAAGUCCAGAGAGAAAGAAGGGUGUUUCGUAAGAACAGAAAAAGGAAGUAAGCACAGAAAGCGUCAAACAGGAUGGCAGAGGUGAGACGGCGUGUGUGGAUAGUUCAGUCCUGUGCAGGGAUUAAGCUCUUCCUAGAGGACUUGGACCAUGAACCUUGCACGGUCUCGACCUGGGACACUGCCUCUCACCUUUGCAGACCUCGCUGUGCUGGUGUGACCAAAGACACAGGGCCAUGAGGAGUUGGCUGUGGAUGGUGUGGAGACCUCCCUGGUCUCCUUCUGGACGGCCUGUUGGGCCUUCUGCUGGGGGCCUCUGCCCCUGGGGUGGUUGCCAGGUAGACAGGGGGGUGUGGUUUUCCUGGGGCGGGGCUGGCUUCCUCCCAGCUCCAUCUUCCCUGGGACAGUCGUGUCUGUGCUGGACUCACCAGUGUCCAUGCCCUUGACAUGAUUGGGUCAGGCGUCACCUCCCCCGCUCAGGGCAGCCUCAGCUACUCCAGGUGGAAUCAUGAGAACCACUGAGGCCACAUGUCCCCGUGAGAGCCUAUCGUAAGCUGGACCACGAUGACCCCCUCUCCUUCUCAGACACUCUAUGUCACCAUCAUAAACUGUCCGAGAAAGCAUUCUACAUUCAGAAAUCCAUAAGCCAGGAUAAUUGGGGGCAAAUCGUUUCAAGUCUUCAAGUUCGAAUAUUUUAGAAAAUAGAAAAAAAGUCUAUUUUUUAAAGCUGACACGCUCUGAUAUCAAGGCCUGACCAGAGUAUAAAAUGGGAGGAAUUGCACUUUUAAAUACAGAUGGAAAAAUUUUAAAUAGUAACAAAUUCAGUCUAGCUCUAGAUAAAAGUAUCACCCACGAGAAAGUCGUUCCUUCUGGGCCUGCAGUGGUCAUCAGUCAUUAAAAAUAUUCUGGGGCUGCCUGGGUGGCUGAGGCAGUUGAGCAGCUGACUGG